GAUGAACGCUGGCGGCGUUCCUAAUACAUGCAAGUCGAGCGAACAGACGAGGAGCUUGCUCCUUUGACGUUAGCGGCGGACGGGUGAGUAACACGUAGGUAACCUACCUAUAAGACUGGGAUAACUUCGGGAAACCGGAGCUAAUACCGGAUAAUAUUUCGAACCGCAUGGUUCGAUAGUGAAAGAUGGCUUUGCUAUCACUUAUAGAUGGACCUGCGCCGUAUUAGCUAGUUGGUAAGGUAACGGCUUACCAAGGCAACGAUACGUAGCCGACCUGAGAGGGUGAUCGGCCACACUGGAACUGAGGCACGGUCCAGACUCCUACGGGAGGCAGCAGUAGGGAAUCUUCCGCAAUGGGCGAAAGCCUGACGGAGCAACGCCGCGUGAGUGAUGAAGGUCUUCGGAUCGUAAAACUCUGUUAUUAGGGAAGAACAAACGUGUAAGUAACUGUGCACGUCUUGACGGUACCUAAUCAGAAAGCCACGGCUAACUACGUG
rnacentral:rRNA from 1 species